rnacentral:rRNA from 1 species
GCGCGUGCCUAAUACAUGCAAGUCAAGCGGACAGAAGGGAGCUUGCUCCCGGAUUGUUAGCGGCGGACGGGUGAUGUAACACGUGGGUAACCUGCCUGUAAGACUGGGAUAACUCCGGGAAACCGGAGCUAUACCGGAUAGUUCCUUGAACCGCAUGGUUCAAGGAUGAAAGACGGUUCGGCUGUCACUUACAGAUGGACCCGCGGCGCAUUAGCUAGUUGGUGAGGUAACGGCUCACCAAGGCGACGAUGCGUAGCCGACCUGAGAGGGUGAUCGGCCACACUGGGACUGAGACACGGCCCAGACUCCUACGGGAGGCAGCAGUUAGGGAAUCUUCCGCAAUGGACGAAAGUCUGACGGAGCAACGCCGCGUGAGUGAUGAAGGUUUUCGGAUCGUAAAGCUCUGUUGUUAGGGAAGAACAAGUGCAAGAGUAACUGCUGCACCUUGACGGUACU